rnacentral:lncRNA from 1 species
AGCUGAAGAUGAAAAUAACCGCUGAAUGAAAAUGUGGUCGCAAGGCCCGUAACCGAUAAAAGGAAUUGUUUCAGGCCGGCGGAUGUGGGACCAUUUGUCCUUUAGGCAUUGACAAUUGGACCCAACUUUCUUGUUCCUCCGGUGCUCUUGUAAUAGGUCUCCGCCUCUUCAUUGCUCAGAAGAUACGUCUGACCGCGUCAGAGAUACCAGCAGGCAACUCACCUCAUGGCCGUGAGGCCGGUAAUAGAUAAAAAAUACAAUUUUGCUAUUUCUAAGCUCUAUUUAUAACUCGAUACUAACAACCUCUGAUCCAAUUACUGAGAUUUGUGCAACAUUCACAAGUACAAUUGAGAAAAAAAAAUCUUAAUCGAAUGACUGUACUCGUCUAUUGAGAAAUAACUAUCUCUAACUCAACAAAAAAAAAUUUUAGUGGAACAGCCGAAGCUUUAUUAGCUAGAAAAGUUCAUAGGGAUACAAAUACUGGCUGGUGGAUGAUCCAACCAGACAUAACGUACAGCCUCAAAAGACGUUGCUAGUCGAGCUAAUCUAUGAGCUUCUCCAUUUGCUUCACGUCGUUCGUGAUCAAAGAUGGUCUCCCGUAGCUGUAACUUCCUCGUCGCAAUACCUCGAAUGAUCAGUGCAUGCGGUCCAAACUGCUUCUCACCAUUGAUCUCCUUAAUAACAUUCAAAAAAUCCGAAGCAAUCUUAAUUCGUUGGGCCUUAAUAUCAACCGCCAGAGAGAUGGCUUCAUCACAAGCAUGAGACUCCAAGAUUUCAGAAUUUGACAAACCGUCGAAGACCACCGCAGAAGCACCAAUGUAUAAACCAUUUUCAUUCCGACACACGGUCGCUAUCGCUCCCUUUGGCAGGCCC